AGUCGCCUAGCAACGCAGAGGGGUGUUGCUAUGACAACGUAACAAACUACACACUAUAAAAUGCAAGUCAUCGGUUUCUGUGUAUUCAGUGUGCAGCAGAUGAUCGUCGAGCAGGCAAACACGAAGUUGUUGGUUUUGAUUUUCGUCCCCGGCGAGUUUGGUUUGGCGUCGGUUUGUUUUGCUCACACCAAAAUUUGCAUUAAUACGAAAUCAUCGACCGCCAGCGCCGCCGAUUCAAAGGUGGCAAAGUGGCGACGCCGCCAUUGAUGUGGUUAGACGGUUACCGCUAAGUGUUGGCAACUCAUCCUCUGUCUACCGCCUCCCACGAACCCAACAUCAACAUUAUCAAGGUCUAGUCUACGCGCAGUGAAAGCAUCUUUGCUGCAUUGUCAUCAAGACUCGUGAAUUUUCGUCAAGAUGGAAGGGGGGACGAUGUAGGAACGUCGAUUCGCAGCUUCCAGAGCAACGGAAGGGUCGAAAUGUAAGAAUCGAGGGUGGCUCUCGGGACGCCGCCACCACCAGCGCACGGGGACUAAUUGAUUAAUGCCCGAGAUCGAUUAACGACCGCAUCGUUUAGAACUUCAAUCAAUAAAGCGACCCCUCUCGCAGCAGCCCAAACAAGACGAGCAAUUCUUGUUCUGUAUCCCUUCGUCUGUCACUCCUAAAUUUGCU